AUCGCUUCUUGGCCUCUUGGCUAAGAUCAAGUGUAGUAUCUGUUCUUACCAGUUUAAAAUACUAUAGGCAUCUCCUAUUUUACACCUUUGCCAAGUCUUAAGAAUGAUGUAGAAAAAUAUGAGGGUAGUCCUGGCUGGGUGGCUCAAUUGGUUUGAGCAUUGGCUUGUACACCACAGAGUUGUAGGCUCAGUCCCUGA